rnacentral:misc_RNA from 1 species
GAGUGCGAAGAGUCAGCCCUACACACCCCCUCCCUCCCUCCCUCCCCCUCCCUCUCGCUCGCUGCGGGUACGCAUGUCCGUUGCCUUGGAGUCGCUUCUGCACCGAUCCGUGUGCUGCCACCUGGCACACGGUGAGGAGUACCGAGGCCAGCUGGAGGCCCUGGACGGCACCUUCGAUGUGGUCCUGUCGCAGUGCACGCGGAGCCGCGCCGCCCCAAGGCAGCCGGCCGAGCCCCUCGUUUUUCUGCGCGGCGAGAACAUCAUCUACAUCGGCUUCGACGAGUCGUCCAGAAGUGAGGACGGGACCACCGCGUGAGAUGCGCAAUGGUGUUCUGUGCUGCUGCGCCCUCUUGUCCAGCUCCGCUGCGACUCAGGAAGAGGGGUAAGACGGAGAGAAUGGACAGCGCCUGUGAGGGCAGUGAGAGAGGGCAUCUCGCGUUGCGGUGGCUCGGGUCACCAGAGAGCGAAGCAGCCGCGCGUUCGUGACUCCAUACGUUACCCGCGCGCUCUUCUCCCUGCUUUUCUCUCUGUUGACGUGCGCUCCCGACUUCCACCCACCUACCUACACACACACACACACUCAACCUGUGUCUCACCGUCUUGUGCGCACAUCAUGAACC